AUGUCGAAGUUGAAGGAUAAGUCUGUGAGGAUGAUGUCUGCGCCUUACGCAUGUGUCACUUCUUCUGGAAGCACUGACACUCAACAUGACCAUCCUGAUUACAGUAGUCGCAGUGAGGACAAGAGCGACCCUGACCUCUAGGAGGAGUGGGAAAGAGUGGCAAAGCACUCGGGCGAGAAGGAUUCGGUAUAACAGGUGGUAUAACAGGAACUCGGGCAGCUAGAACAAAGGGAAGCUCCAAUAAACCAACACAGCGUAAACGAAUCUUUGAAAGCGCCUCCAUGAGAGAAAUACGACCACGAGCAAACAAUCAAGCGCGCCGGGGCUCAAACUCUUUACGGAGCCAUGAAAAGAACUUGUAGACAUGAUGAAAUUCAAAAUUAGCCUGCACAGCAUGGUAACACUGGGAAGUAUGACAACCACCACUUUGAAGAGAAUCAAGCUGACGCUAGAUAUCAUAACUCUAUGCAUAGAAAUCAUCAACACUUGAAUCACCCUACUGAAGAGCAUGCUCCUCGCGGACCACAAACAGAUAUAAGGCAUCACCAGAGGGCUGAUAGCACUCACAAAGACGGGUCCACAUCUCAAA
rnacentral:lncRNA from 1 species